GAUGAACGCUGACAGAAUGCUUAACACAUGCAAGUCGACUUGAAUUUGGGAGUUUGACUGAUGGUUGGGUGGCGGACGGGUGAGUAACGCGUAAAGAACUUGCCUCACAGCUAGGGACAACAUUUGGAAACGAAUGCUAAUACCGAAUAUUAGGAUAAUCGGCCAUCCUAUAAUUAUGAAAGCUAUAAGCGCUGUGAGAGAGCUGUGCGUCCCAUUAGCUAGUUGGAGAGGUAACGGCUCACCAAGGCGAUGAUGGGUAGCCGGCUUGAGAGGGUGACGGGCAAACAGGGACCUGGGACAGGGCCAUUACCCCUACGGGAGGAAGAAGUGGGGAAUAUGCGACAAUGGACCAAGAGUCUGAUACAGCAAUUCUGUGUGCAAGAUGAAGUUUUUCGGAAUGUAAAGCGCUUUCAGUUGGGAAGAAAGAAAUGACGGUACCAACAGAAGAAGUGACGGCUAAAUACGUG
rnacentral:rRNA from 1 species